GUCGGUCCUCGGUAGUGGCCGCCGGAUGACGUCCUCCGGCCGCUUCGAUCGAAGGCCGCG
rfam:Amycolicicoccus subflavus DQS3-9A1, complete genome.